GACGAACGCUGGCGGCGUGCUUAACACAUGCAAGUCGAACGAUGAAGCCGGAGCUUGCUCUGGUGAAUUAGUGGCGAACGGGUGAGUAACACGUGAGUAACCUGCCCUUGACUCUGGGAUAACUGCUAGAAAUGGUAGCUAAUACCGGAUACGACCCUCGGAGGCAUCUCCAGGGGGUGGAAAGAAUUUCGGUCAAGGAUGGACUCGCGGCCUAUCAGCUAGUUGGUGAGGUAACGGCUCACCAAGGCGACGACGGGUAGCCGGCCUGAGAGGGUGACCGGCCACACUGGGACUGAGACACGGCCCAGACUCCUACGGGAGGCAGCAGUGGGGAAUAUUGCACAAUGGGCGCAAGCCUAAUGCAGCAACGCCGCGUGAGGGAUGACGGCCUUCGGGUUGUAAACCUCUUUUAGUAGGGAAGAAGCGAAAGUGACAGUACCUGCAGAAAAAGCACCGGCUAACUACGUGCCAGCAGCCGCAGUAA
rnacentral:rRNA from 1 species